UACGGAGGAUGCGAGCGUUAUCCGGAUUUAUUGGGUUUAAAGGGUGCGUAGGCGGCUGAUUAAGUCGGAUGUGAAAUCCCUGAGCUUAACUUAGGAAUUGCAUUCGAUGCUGGUCAGCUAGAGUAUGGGAGAGGAUGGUAGAAUUCCAGGUGUAGCGGUGAGAUGCGUAGAGAUCUGGAGGAAUACCGAUGGCGAAGGCAGCCAUCUGGCCUAAUACUGACGCUGAGGUACGAAAGCAUGGUGAGCAAACAGGAUUAGAUACCCUGGUAGUCCAUGCCGUAAACGAUGUCUACUAGCCGUUGGGGCCUUUGAGGCUUUAGUGGCGCAGCUAACGCGAUAAGUAGACCGCCUGGGGAGUACGGUCGCAAGACUAAA
rnacentral:rRNA from 1 species